rnacentral:lncRNA from 1 species
GUGUUCUUAGUGUGGUGCCAGGAAAAUAACCUCUCACUCAACGUCAACAAAACAAAGGAGAUGAUCGUGGACUUCAGGAGGGAGCACCCCCCUAUCCACAUCGACGGGACCGCAGUGGAGAAGGUGCACAACUGAGAGCAUCCUGUCAGGUUGUAUAACCGCUUGGUACGGCAACUGCACCGCCUGCAACUGCAGGGCUUUCCAGAGGGUGGUGAGGUCUGCCCAACACAUCACCGGGGGCCUCCAGGACACCUAUGUCACAGCACCCGAUGUCACAGUGUUACGGAUACAGGUAUCCUGUACUGCAGGACCAAAGGGAUUCGUAACACACAGGAAGGCAAAAAAGAUAAUCAAGGACAACAACCACCCAAGCCACUGCCUGUUCACCCUGCUAUCAUCCAGAAGGUGUCACCCAUCUUCCCCAUUAUCCCCUGUGUAUUUAUACCUGUGUUCUCUGUUUGUCUGUUGCCAGUUCGUCUUGUUUGUCAAGUCAACCAGCAGUUUUGUCUCUCAGCUUCUGCUGUUCCCAGUCUUUUUUUUUAUUUUUUGCCCUCCUGGUUUUGACCCUUGCCUGUCCUGACCCUGCCUGCCGACCUGUACUUUUGCCCCACCUUUGGAUUAUUGACCUCUGCCUACCCUGACCCUGAGCCUGCCUGCCGUCCGGUACCGUUUCCCCAACCCUGGUUUACUGACCCCUGCCUGCCUUGACCUGUCUAUUGUCUGCCCCUGUUGGAUUAUUAAACCAUUGUUAAUUCGGCAUUGUCUGCAUCUGGGUCUUCCUUUCAUACCUGAUAUUCAUAUUGUUGAGUAAUGGAAUAGAGUUAUAUAUUUGUUUGUCACUUAUUCAGCAGCCUAAGUAUUUAAUAUUUAUUGUGGUCUACUUAAAGAAUUGCUGUAGUCCGUGAGUUAUUCUUUUUCCUAUUGCCAUAAUUUCAAUGUUUUUUUCCACGUUAAUUUUAUAUCCUGAGAUUUGAGUAUUCCAAAAAUAUUUUUAGCAAAGGGGGCAUUGAGUUUUCAAUUGUGGGCUGGUUAAAUAAAAAUAAAAAAAUAUCAGGAGAUCGUCUGUGAUAAGUUUAGUUUAUAUUCAUGGUUACCAAUACUGACACCUGACUUACGUUUGGGUCCUGUCUAAUUCUUUCUGCAAGUGGUUCAACUGCCAGUGCAAACAGAAGGGGGGACAUCAUGGUCUUUUGCUCCUUUUCAAAGCAAUUUCAAUCGAUAAUGUAGUAUUUGUGUAUAGUUUUGCUUUAGUACAUUUAUAGAAUAUUUGCAUUAUUCCAUGUGUAACUCUGUUUUUGUUGCACUGCUUUAUCUUCGCCAGGUCGCAGUUGUAAAUGAGAACUUGUUCUCAACUGGCCUACCUGGUUAAAUAAAGGUGAAAAUAAAAAUAUAUAUUUGUAUUAGAUGUAUUAUUUCAGAUGGAAAGUUGAAAUC